CGUAAACGAUGAGUGCUAAGUGUUGAGGGUUUCCGCCUUCAGUGCUGCAGCUAACGCAUUAAGCAUUCCGCUGGGGAGUACGACCGCAAGGUUGAAACUCAAAGGAAUUGACGGGGGCCCGCACAAGCGGUGGAGCAUGUGGUUUAAUUCGAAGCAACGCGAAGAACCUUACCAGGCCUUGACAUCUAGCGCCAACCUCAGAGAUGAGGUGUUCCCUUCGGGGACGCUAAGACAGGUGGUGCAUGGUUGUCGUCAGCUCGUGUCGUGAGAUGUUGGGUUAAGUCCCGCAACGAGCGCAACCCUUAUUAUCAGUUGCCAGCAUUCAGUUGGGCACUCUGGUGAGACUGCCGGUGACAAACCGGAGGAAGGUGGGGACGACGUCAAAUCAUCAUGCCCCUUAUGACCUGGGCUACACACGUGCUACAAUGGACGGUACAACGAGUUGCGAACUCGCGAGGGUAAGCUAAUCUCUUAAAGCCGUUCUCAGUUCGGACUGUAGGCUGCAACUCGCCUACACGAAGUCGGAAUCGCUAGUAAUCGCGGAUCAGAAUGCCGCGGUGAAUACGUUCCCGGGCCUUGUACACACCGCCCGUCACACCAUGAGAGUUUGUAACACCCAAAGUCGGUGGGGUAACCUUUAGGAGCCAGCCGCCUAAGGUGGGACAGAUGAUUAGGGUGAAGUCGUAACAAGGUAACCA
rnacentral:rRNA from 1 species